rnacentral:rRNA from 1 species
UACGUAGGGUGCAAGCGUUGUCCGGAAUUAUUGGGCGUAAAGCGCGCGCAGGCGGUUCUUCAAGUCAGUGGUGAAAGCCCGGAGCUCAACUCCGGAACUGCCAUUGAAACUGUAGAACUUGAGGAUGAGAGAGGUGAGUGGAAUUCCCAGUGUAGAGGUGAAAUUCGUAGAUAUUGGGAAGAACACCGGUGGCGAAAGCGGCUCACUGGACCAUAACUGACGCUGAUGCACGAAAGCUAGGGGAGCAAACAGG